GUUCUAUAAGAUGGUGUUCUACAGCAGACAUCAGAAACCCCCUUUUUAAAAUAAAGAACUGCCACUGCAUCAAAUCUUAAUGAUCCCACAGAGGACCGGCCUGGAAGGAAAGGCACACAAAUGCCUACGUGCCGCGGCGGUUGUCAGAAGAAAGCCAAGGAUGCUCACCUAAGAUCAUCAGGAAGAGCUGCUAAGGACGUGGAUCAGUUGAAUGAGAAGUAAAGCAGUGGCACAGGUUGCCCAGAGAAGUGGCAGUGCCCCAUCCCUGGAGACGGUCAAGGUCAGGCUGGAUGGGGCUCUGAGCAACCUGAUGGAGCUGUAGGUGUCCCUGUGCAUUGCAGGGGAGUUGGAC
rnacentral:lncRNA from 1 species